rnacentral:sRNA from 1 species
GGCGACAUGGAGCCAGGGGCGGCCGAGCUGUAUGACCAGGCCCUUCUGGGCAUCCUGCAGCACGUGGGCAACGUCCAGGAUUUCCUGCGCGUUCUCUUUGGCUUCCUCUACCGCAAGACAGACUUCUAUCGCUUGCUGCGCCACCCAUCGGACCGCAUGGGCUUCCCGCCCGGGGCCGCGCAGGCCCUGGUGCUGCAGUUGUACCAGGACCGUGUAUUCUUUGCAUUGUGAACAACACUGGGGUCUGUAAAAUAAUGACAACAAAGACCAUCUAACUGUACAUCUUUUAGGUAUUCAAAACCUUUGACCACAUGGCCCGUCAGGAUGAUGAGAAGAGAAGGCAGGAACUUGAAGAGAAAAUCAGAAGAAAGGAAGAAGAAGAGGCCAAGACUGUGUCAGCUGCUGCAGCUGAGAAGGAGCCAGUCCCAGUUCCAGUCCAGGAAAUAGAGAUUGACUCCACCACAGAAUUGGGUGGGCGUCAGGAAGUAGAGAAAGUGCAGCCUCCAGGCCCUGUGAAGGAAAUGGCCCAUGGCUCACUGGAGGCAGAAGCUCCAGGAGCAGUUGCUGGUGCUGCUGAAGUCCCUAGGGAACCACCAGUUCUUCCCAGGAUUCAGGAGCAGUUCCAGAAAAAUCCCGACAGUUACAAUGGUGCUGUCCGAGAGAACUACACCUGGUCACAGGACUAUACUGACCUGGAGGUCAGGGUGCCAGUACCCAAGCACGUGGUGAAGGGAAAGCAGGUCUCAGUGGCCCUUAGCAGCAGCUCCAUUCGUGUGGCCAUGCUGGAGGAAAAUGGGGAGCGCGUCCUCAU